rnacentral:SRP_RNA from 1 species
GCUGGGUGUGGUGGCACACACCUGUAAUCCCAGCUACUUGGGAGGCUGAGGCAGGAGAAUUGCUUGAACCCGGGAGAUGGAGGUUGCGGUGAGCCAAGAUCGCACCAUUGCACUCCAGCCUGGGUGACAGAGCGAGACUCUGUCUCAA